UCUAAAUUGGCAGAAACAUAUGCGACGGGCUUAAAACCCGUUUAUAAUUCAUUUAUUUAGCU
rnacentral:tRNA from 1 species